CCUACGGGAGGCAGCAGUGGGGAAUAUUGGACAAUGGGGGCAACCCUGAUCCAGCCAUGCCGCGUGUGUGAAGAAGGCCCUCGGGUUGUAAAGCACUUUCAGUGAGGAAGAACGCCUGGUGGUUAAUACCCAUCAGGAAAGACAUCACUCACAGAAGAAGCACCGGCUAACUCCGUGCCAGCAGCCCGGUAAUACGGAGGGUGCGAGCGUUAAUCGGAAUUACUGGGCGUAAAGCGCGCGUAGGUGGCUUGAUAAGCCGGUUGUGAAAGCCCCGGGCUCAACCUGGGAACGGCAUCCGGAACUGUCAAGCUAGAGUGCAGGAGAGGAAGGUAGAAUUCCCGGUGUAGCGGUGAAAUGCGUAGAGAUCGGGAGGAAUACCAGUGGCGAAGGCGGCCUUCUGGACUGACACUGACACUGAGGUGCGAAAGCGUGGGUAGCAAACAGGAUUAGAUACCCGGGUAGUC
rnacentral:rRNA from 1 species